UGGGGGAUCGUUCAACGGUAGGACAGCGGACUCUGACUCCGUCAAUCUAGGUUCGAAUCCUAGUCCCCCAGCCA
rnacentral:tRNA from 2 species